GGCGAUGCAGUGUUACGAGAAUCACUACCACCGUGUGUGUGAGGCGGCUCAUCGUGCCACAGAGAUCACCACGUGUCAUCAGAACGAGGCGCGCCGGGCGCACCUUCAGGUGCUCCGAGCGUCUGCGAUGCUGCAGUCCCGCGUGGAGUCCGCCUGGCGACGGGUGGUCAAACAGAUGGCCGACCAGGGCGCGCCCUGGGCGCCGCCGCAGGCACAGCACAGUUUCUGGGAGCUGGACCCGACCGAGGGCUACCUGAGGCAGCGGAACCGGCUGAGAAAGACCCGGCUCAACCUGGCCGCACGCUUCUUCCAGCCGACCGCGGCCAAGUGUGUCG